CUACGGGGCGCUGCAGUCGAGAAUCUUCCGCAAUGGACGAAAGUCUGACGGAGCGACGCCGCGCGCGGGAUGAAGGCCUUCGGGUUGUAAACCGCUGUCAGUGGGGAGGAAAUGCAUCAGGGUUCUCCCUGGUGUUUGACCGAUCCGCAGAGGAAGCGCAGGCUAAGUUCGUGCCAGCAGCCGCGGUAACACGAACUGCGCGAACGUUAUUCGGAAUCACUGGGCUUAAAGAGUUCGUGGGCGGCCUUUCAAGUCGGGUGUGAAAUCCCUCGGCUCAACCGAGGAAUUGCGCCUGAUACUGUUGGGCUUGAGGGGGAUAGGGGUGAGCGGAACUGAUGGUGGAGCGGUGAAAUGCGUUGAUAUCAUCAGGAACACCGGUGGCGAAGGCGGCUCACUGGAUCUCUUCUGACGCUGAGGAACGAAAGCUAGGGGAGCGAACGGGAUUAGAUACCCGCGUAGUC
rnacentral:rRNA from 1 species